rnacentral:rRNA from 1 species
AUUGAACGCUGGCGGCAGGCUUAACACAUGCAAGUCGAGCGGAGCGAGGGUGCUUGCACCUUAGCUUAGCGGCGGACGGGUGAGUAAUGCUUAGGAAUCUGCCUAUUAGUGGGGGACAACAUUCCGAAAGGGAUGCUAAUACCGCAUACGCCCUACGGGGGAAAGCAGGGGAUCUUCGGACCUUGCGCUAAUAGAUGAGCCUAAGUCGGAUUAGCUAGUUGGUGGGGUAAAGGCCUACCAAGGCGACGAUCUGUAGCGGGUCUGAGAGGAUGAUCCGCCACACUGGGACUGAGACACGGCCCAGACUCCUACGGGAGGCAGCAGUGGGGAAUAUUGGACAAUGGGGGGAACCCCUGAUCCAGCCAUGCCGCGUGUGUGAAGAAGGCCUUUUGGUUGUAA